GUGUCAGCCGCCGCGGUAAUACGAAGGGGGCUAGCGUUGCUCGGAAUUACUGGGCGUAAAGGGCGCGUAGGCGGGUCGUUUAGUUAGAGGUGAAAGCCCAGGGCUCAACCCUGGAAUUGCCUUUAAUACUGGCGGCCUUGAGUAUGGCAGAGGUGUGUGGAACUCCGAGUGUAGAGGUGAAAUUCGUAGAUAUUCGGAAGAACACCAGUGGCGAAGGCGACACACUGGGCCAUUACUGACGCUGAGGCGCGAAAGCGUGGGGAGCAAACAGGAUUAGAAACCCUUGUAGUCC
rnacentral:rRNA from 1 species